CCAGAGACAAAAUCAUGGAUUAGACAUACUCAUGCAGCAUAGCAUGCACUAUCCCACCUAACACUUUCAUCCCAUACUUGUAGAACGCAUAACACCUAUUCACCUGGCUUUAAAGAAUCUCAUUGGAACACGACAGAGCUCAACCUGUGUCAUAACAUUUCUCCUAGGUUUUGCUUCAUUUUUUGCCACCUUAAACUAAAACCAUCUCACACACCAUUAAUUAUAUAUUUUACAGGCAUUCAACAACACAGGAUAACCUAUGGCCAAACUACCAUAACUUCAUGCUAUCAUACCAGACAAGAAUAUACUCAGAGGUUUUCAGG
rnacentral:lncRNA from 1 species